rnacentral:rRNA from 1 species
UACGUAGGGUGCAAGCGUUGUCCGGAAUUAUUGGGCGUAAAGAGCUCGUAGGCGGUCUGUCGCGUCUGCUGUGAAAACUGGGGGCUCAACCCCCAGCCUGCAGUGGGUACGGGCAGACUAGAGUGCGGUAGGGGAGAUUGGAACUCCGUGGUGUAGCGGUGGAAUGCGCAGAUAUCAGGAAGAACACCGAUGGCGAAGGCAGAUCUCUGGGCCGUAACUGACGCUGAGGAGCGAAAGCAUGGGGAGCGAACAGG